UGAGCAUUGCCAUUUCUAGAUUCAGUAAUUGGAAGCCAAGCAUCUUGAGGGUUAAGCUUAGUCAAAUGCCCAACUUCUUCCAAAUAACCCUUCAUAUUAACCAACACCCUUUUCAUUGGAGUCCCAAUAGGGCUCAAAAACCUAGGUGAAAUAAAUGACGUUGGUGUCCAUGACUUAGCAUCUUUUGAUGCACCAGUAGAUGUAUGUCCUCCACCACCCCUUGGUGAUCUUUGACCUGACGGUGUUAGAAUCUCAGGUGUUGAUGCACGCGGUGUUGCUGGUAUUGAAAUAAGCUCUGUUUCUGGUCUUUCCUCCAUCAAUGGCAAAAUACUAAAAUUUGUUGGAAAAAAAUGAAAAUGGACUAAUGGGGUUAUGGCCUGAUGAGUCCUUUUUUCUUUUUGUUGUUUAGUUUGUGUUGUUUAGCUCACUGGGGCUUUCGUUUUGGCUUGUUCUUGUCAGAGUUCAUCAAGCAAGAAAAUAGGGUUUUUUUUUCAAGAAUAUAUAGAAUGAGACUGAGCUGCACCAUAUGCAAUGUGUGUGAAAUUGUGCAAACAGUCAAGGUGAAGUUUGAGUCUUGGCCAUUGAUGGA
rnacentral:misc_RNA from 1 species